rnacentral:rRNA from 1 species
UAACACUAACUGGAGGACCGAACCGACUAAUGUUGAAAAAUUAGCGGAUGACUUGUGGCUGGGGGUGAAAGGCCAAUCAAACCGGGAGAUAGCUGGUUCUCCCCGAAAGCUAUUUAGGUAGCGCCUCGUGAAUUCAUCUCCGGGGGUAGAGCACUGUUUCGGCAAGGGGGUCAUCCCGACUUACCAACCCGAUGCAAACUGCGAAUACCGGAGAAUGUUAUCACGGGAGACACACGGCGGGUGCUAACGUCCGUCGUGAAGAGGGAAACAACCCAGACCGCCAGCUAAGGUCCCAAAGUCAUGGUUAAGUGGGAAACGAUGUGGGAAGGCCCAGACAGCCAGGAUGUUGGCUUAGAAGCAGCCAUCAUUUAAAGAAAGCGUAAUAGCUCACUGGUCGAGUCGGCCUGCGCGGAAGAUGUAACGGGGCUAAACCAUGCACCGAAGCUGCGGCAGCGACGCUGAUGCGUUGUUGGGUAGGGGAGCGUUCUGUAAGCCUGCGAAGGUGUGCUGUGAGGCAUGCUGGAGGUAUCAGAAGUGCGAAUGCUGACAUAAGUAACGAUAAAGCGGGUGAAAAGCCCGCUCGCCGGAAGACCAAGGGUUCCUGUCCAACGUUAAUCGGGGCAGGGUGAGUCGACCCCUAAGGCGAGGCCGAAAGGCGUAGUCGAUGGGAAACAGGUUAAUAUUCCUGUACUUGGUGUUACUGCGAAGGGGGGACGGAGAAGGCUAUGUUGGCCGGGCGACGGUUGUCCCGGUUUAAGCGUGUAGGCUGGUUUUCCAGGCAAAUCCGGAAAAUCAAGGCUGAGGCGUGAUGACGAGGCACU